rnacentral:rRNA from 1 species
UCCGUAGGUGGACGAUUAAGUCAGAGGUGAAAUCCUGCAGCUCAACUGUAGAAUUGCCUUUGAUACUGGUUGUCUUGAGUCAUUAUGAAGUGGUUAGAAUAUGUAGUGUAGCGGUGAAACGCAUAGAUAUUACAUAGAAUACCAAUUGCGAAGGCAGAUCACUAAUAAUGUACUGACACUGAUGGACGAAAGCGGUGGGGAGCGAACA